AUUGAUAAAAAUAUCGAUAUCACCAAGAUAACUCCAUCAACAAGAGUUGCUCUCCAUAAUGACAGUUAUGUGCUUCAUUUAAUCUUGCCAAGCAAAUUGAUCCAUUGGUCAACCUCAUGAAAGUUGAAAAGGUUCCAGAUUCCACAUAUGACAUGAU